rnacentral:rRNA from 1 species
AGAGUUUGAUCCUGGCUCAGAACGAACGCUGGCGGCAGGCUUAACACAUGCAAGUCGAACGAGAUCUUCGGAUCUAGUGGCAGACGGGUGAGGAACACGUGGGAACAUCCCUUUCAGUUCGGAAUAACGUUGGGAAACUAACGCUAAUACCGGAUACGUCCUUCGGGAGAAAGAUUUAUCGCUGAAAGAUUGGCCCGCGUCUGAUUAGCUAGUUGGUGAGGUAAUGGCUCACCAAGGCGACGAUCAGUAGCUGAUCUGAGAGGAUGAUCAGCCACAUUGGGACUGAGACACGGCCCAAACUCCUACGGGAGGCAGCAGUGGGGAAUAUUGGACAAUGGGCGCAAGCCUGAUCCAGCCAUGCCGCGUGAGUGAUGAAGGCCUUCGGGUUGUAAAGCUCUUUUGUCCGGGAAGAUAAUGACG